GGAAGGGUUAGGGUUAGGGUUCAGGCUAGGGUUAGGGUUAGGGGACGGGGACGGUUUAGGGUCCAGGUGAGGGUACGACAACGCUUUAGGGGGAGCGUGCGUGUGAGGGCGCGGGUUAGUGUUAGCGUACGGGUUAGGAUUAGGGGACGGGUGAGGGUCAGGCUUCGGGAAAGUGUUAGGGUUAGGGUUCGGGCUAGGGAUAGGGUUAGGGGACGGGGACGGUUUAGGGUCCAGGUCAGGGUACGACAACGCUUUAGGGGGAGCGUACGUAUGAGGGCGCGGGUUAGUGUUAGCGUACGGGUUAGGAUUAGGGGACGGGUGAGGGUCAGGCU